CAAACGGCCCUUUUCAGGGCCACCAGAUAUUUUCGCGAAGAGUUUCG
rfam:Anopheles culicifacies strain species A-37_1 cont1.12343, whole genome shotgun sequence.